rnacentral:rRNA from 1 species
AGUGAACGCUGGCGGUAGGCCUAACACAUGCAAGUCGAACGGCAGCACAGUAAGAGCUUGCUCUUACGGGUGGCGAGUGGCGGACGGGUGAGGAAUACAUCGGAAUCUACUUUUUCGUGGGGGAUAACGUAGGGAAGCUUACGCUAAUACCGCAUACGACCUACAGGUGAAAGCAGGGGAUCUUCGGACCUUGCGCGAUUGAAUGAGCCGAUGUCGGAUUAGCUAGUUGGCGGGGUAAAGGCCCACCAAGGCGACGAUCCGUAGCUGGUCUGAGAGGAUGAUCAGCCACACUGGAACUGAGACACGGUCCAGACUCCUACGGGAGGCAGCAGUGGGGAAUAUUGGACAAUGGGCGCAAGCCUGAUCCAGCCAUACCGCGUGGGUGAAGAAGGCCUUCGGGUUGUAAAGCCCUUUUGUUGGGAAAGAAAAGCAGCAGGUUAAUACCCCGCUGUUCUGACGGUACCCAAAGAAUAAGCACCGGCUAACUUCGUG